CCAGCUCUCAUCACGGGGACGCAGCUGUCCACGAAGAAAGCGAUCAUCGUCCCAUGCAUCAUCGCUGGUUUCGGCUACAACCACUUCUACGACAUGUGGGGGGAACCUCCUAAAGUCCUCGUGGACGCCAAGAACUUUGGUCACUGCGACCUCAUGGAUUAUGCCUUUCGUGAUUUCUGUAUCGAUACCAAGACGUGUCUGGGAGGUAACGCCUCCAUGAUCCCAGCUUACCACCAGUACACCCAGGGAAUAACAUCUGCCUUCC